rnacentral:misc_RNA from 1 species
AGAGAAAGUGCCCAAGGAGCUGAUGG